AGAGUUUGAUCAUGGCUCAGAUUGAACGCUGGCGGCAGGCCUAACACAUGCAAGUCGAGCGGCAGCGGGAAAGUAGCUUGCUACUUUUGCCGGCGAGCGGCGGACGGGUGAGUAAUGCCUGGGGAUCUGCCCAGUCGAGGGGGAUAACAGUUGGAAACGACUGCUAAUACCGCAUACGCCCUACGGGGGAAAGGAGGGGACCUUCGGGCCUUUCGCGAUUGGAUGAACCCAGGUGGGAUUAGCUAGUUGGUGGGGUAAUGGCUCACCAAGGCGACGAUCCCUAGCUGGUCUGAGAGGAUGAUCAGCCACACUGGAACUGAGACACGGUCCAGACUCCUACGGGAGGCAGCAGUGGGGAAUAUUGCACAAUGGGGGAAACCCUGAUGCAGCCAUGCCGCGUGUGUGAAGAAGGCCUUCGGGUUGUAAAGCACUUUCAGCGAGGAGGAAAGGUUGGCAGCUAAUAUCUGUCAGCUGUGACGUUACUCGCAGAAGAAGCACCGGCUAACUCCGUGCCAGCAGCCGCGGUAAUAC
rnacentral:rRNA from 1 species